GCCGUGGUGGCGAAAUGGUAUACGCUGGGGACUUAAAAUCCCCCGUCCGUAAGGGCAUGCGGGUUCGAGUCCCGCCCGCGGCA
rnacentral:tRNA from 1 species